rnacentral:rRNA from 1 species
CACGUAAGAGGCAAGCGUUGUUCGGAAUUAUUGGGCGUAAAGGGUACGUAGGCGGUUAUGUAAGCCCGGCGUGAAAUCCUGCAGCUUAACUGUAGAAUUGCGCUGGGAACUGCGUAACUUGAGUCAUGGAAGGGAAGUUAGAAUUCCAGGUGUAGGGGUGAAAUCUGUAGAUAUCUGGAAGAAUACCGGUGGCGAAGGCGAACUUCUGGCCAAUGACUGACGCUGAGGUACGAAAGUGCGGGGAGCAAACAGG